AGAUCCCUCAGAGAUGAUGAGGUUAAUAGGUUCGAGGUGGAAGCAUGGUGACAUGUGGAGCUGACGAAUACUAAUCGAUCGAAGACUUAAUCAA
rnacentral:rRNA from 1 species